rnacentral:rRNA from 1 species
AGGAUAAACGCUGGCGGCGUGCCUAACACAUGCAAGUCGAACGCGCUUUCGGGCUUCGGUGCGAGAGCGAGUGGCGGACGGGUGAGUAACACAUGGGUACCUGCCUUUCAGUGAGGGAUACCGGCGAGAAAUCGCCGACAAUACCGCAUGGGCUUGUGGGAACACAAGCAAAGUGGCGCAAGCCACGCUGGAAGAUGGGCCUGUGGCCGAUUAGCUAGUUGGGGGGUAACGGCCUCCCAAGGCGACGAUCGGUAGCUGGUCUGAGAGGACGAUCAGCCACACUGGGAUUGAGAACGGCCCAGACUCCUACGGGGGCAGCAGUGAGGAAUUUUCCGCAAUGGACGAAAGUCUGACGGAGCAACGCCGCGUGCAGGAGGAAGGUUUCGGAUCGUAAACUGCUUUUCUCGGGGACGAGCAAGGACGGUACCCGAGGAAGAACGCCCGGCUAACUACGCGCCAGCAGCCGC